rnacentral:rRNA from 1 species
GUUCUAAGUAUAAAGCAUCUAUACGGUGAACUGCGAAUGGCUCAUUAAAUCAGUUAUCGUUUAUUUGAUAGUACCUUACUACUUGGAUAACCGUGGUAAUUCUAGAGCUAAUACAUGCUAAAAACCCCGACUUACGAAGGGGUGUAUUUAUUAGAUAAAAAACCAAUGCCCUUCGGGGCUCCUUGGUGAUUCAUAAUAACUUAACGAAUCGCAUGGCCUUGUGCCGGCGAUGGUUCAUUCAAAUUUCUGCCCUAUCAACUUUCGAUGGUAGAGUAGUGGUCUACCAUGGUUUCAACGGGUAACGGGGAAUUAGGGUUCUAUUCCGGAGAGGGAGCCUGAGAAACGGCUACCACAUCCAAGGAAGGCAGCAGGCGCGCAAAUUACCCAAUCCCGACACGGGGAGGUAGUGACAAUAAAUACUGAUACAGGGCUCUUUUGGGUCUUGUAAUUGGAAUGAGUACAAUUUAAAUCCCUUAACGAGGAACAAUUGGAGGGCAAGUCUGGUGCCAGCAGCCGCGGUAAUUCCAGCUCCAAUAGCGUAUAUUAAAGUUGUUGCAGUUAAAAAGCUCGUAGUUGAACCUUGGGCCUGGCUGGCCGGUCCGCCUCACCGCGUGCACUGGUCCGGCCGGGUCUUUCCUCCUGGGGAGCUGCAUGCCCUUCACUGGGUGUGUCAGGAACCAGGACUUUUACUUUGAAAAAAUUAGAGUGUUCAAAGCAGGCCUAUGCUCGAAUACAUUAGCAUGGAAUAAUAGAAUAGGACGUGUGGUUCUAUUUUGUUGGUUUCUAGGACCGCCGUAAUGAUUAAUAAGGGAUAGUCGGGGGCAUCAGUAUUCAAUUGUCAGAAGUGAAUUCUUGGAUUUAUUGAAGACUAACUAACUGC